GAGAGUUAAGAGGAAGACGAGUACAGCGUUGUCUGUGGUGAGUUGAAAAGUCUGAACCAUCGAUUAUGAUAUUGAUGGGCAAGAAGACACACAACAAGUUGCUGCGAGUACAAAUAUGGAAGACGAGUAUACCACACAGUUACGUAGUUUCCUUGUUGUCUGUGGAGAGUUGUAAAGUCUGAAUCAUAGAAUGUGAGGUUAAUGGAUAAGAAGAUACACCACAAGUUGCGAGAAAUCUAAGAAAAAUACCUGAAGAACGGGAUAUUUUAACUUUGAAAACAUAAACCUAAAUCUUUUUGUUUGGAGGAACGAAAGAGCUAGGAAUUAAUCUCUCUAUUCUUCCCAGGCGGCAUCAAGAGAGCACAAUCUCCAUGGCAACUCUAGGCUUUUUAACGUUUGCGGCAACUCAAGUCACUUAAGGAUGCCUAACAACGAGAUCUUUGAUCUCUGCUCCUUACUCAACAAGCAUCAUAUCGCUUCAUUUUAAAUCAGUAAUCACCACCAUCACCACAAAUGAUCACCUCCCACCAUCACCACUGGCCGUUGGUACACUGGAUCUACUAACCUUGGAUCUCAAUCACCGUCACAAGAUCAGCCGAUCUUCGCAUGAGCUUUCCGAAAUCUCUUUGCGCAAGCGUGGGUCUCAAGCCUUACACUCCGGACGAGUCUACAAUCUGCAUAUUCAUCUACACCACCUUGUUUCGCACCAGCCUCCAUCUACAGGUCCAUCUCUCUCAGUGUCAAGCAAAUUAGCCACCAUAACUCACAUGUUCCUAUCACUACUUCGAAUCUGCAAGUCAAUCUCAAGCCGUUGCUUCCGUUUACACUUUAUCCGCCUUGAGCUUGAGGGGCGUAUAGAAAGAUGUUGAAGAUAUUGGAGUAGAACCUCUAUAAAUUAAUAAUGUUGGAAUUUUAAAAUUUUAUUAAUUUAUAGAGAUACUAAUUUACAAAAAUUUCUUUUUUUUAGAUUUUUGUCAAUUUUUAAAUAUUUUUAUUAAUAAAAUAAAAAAAAUAUUUGAUUUUACCGUAUAUAAAUUAUUUAAAUUUUAGAACAUUGAUUUUCAUAUUAUUGUAUUAUCUUAUUUGGUGUAUAUUGUUAUGUUUCAUAGAAUUGUUACGUGGUUUUCGAUAUAAUUUACUAAAUAUUAUUAAAAAAUAAAAAAAAUAAAAGUAUUUUCAUUGUGAAUAUAAAACCAACAAUAUAAUGUUUAGUUUAUGAUAGUUUGUACUUAUAUAAAACAUAUAUAGAAUAUAUUAUUAAUUUAUGAUUUUAAUGGGACUAUAUAUUUACAUGGGAGUUUGAAAAAUAUUAUUUUCUUAUUAUUUUAUCGAUUUGUGUCAUAUUUUACACCGGCCCAAGUUGGAACCGACGAAAUUUAUUAAUUUAUAGAGAUUAUUAAUUUAUCGAGUAUUAAUUCAUAGAUGUUUCACUGUAUAUCAUAAUUAUGAUGUAUAUGUUUUUAUUAUUAGAUUCUCGUAUAUUUAUAUCUAGUCUAGUUUAAGUAAUCAUAGUAGUAUAUAAACGUGUGUAAUAUAAAGCUAAGGAUUAUGAGAGUAAAUACAAUAUUCUUCCCA